UCGGGAAUAUUGCGCAAUGGAGGAAACUCUGACGCAGUGACGCCGCGUGCAGGAAGAAGGUUUUCGGAUUGUAAACUGCUUUAGACAGGGAGGAAAAAAGACAGUACCUGUAGAAUAAGCUCCGGCUAACUACGUGCCAGCAGCCGCGGUAAUACGUAGGGAGCAAGCGUUAUCCGGAUUUAUUGGGUGUAAAGGGUGCGUAGACGGGAAGACAAGUUAGUUGUGAAAUCCCUCGGCUUAACUGAGGAACUGCAACUAAAACUAUCAUUCUUGAGUGCUGGAGAGGAAAGUGGAAUUCCUAGUGUAGCGGUGAAAUGCGUAGAUAUUAGGAGGAACACCAGUGGCGAAGGCGACUUUCUGGACAGUAACUGACGUUGAGGCACGAAAGUGUGGGGAGCAAAACAGGAUUAGAUACC
rnacentral:rRNA from 1 species